ensembl:lncRNA
UCCUCAACCUCACCUUUUAUUGUAAAAGAUAAAUGUGAACUUCAUCAUCCAAGCAUCACACGGAACACAUCCACAACAAAACUCAUUUCAUAAACCAAUCUAAAUGACAGGUUGCGUUGACAAAAAACAAAACAUAAGUUAGCGACCUAAAAGCUAGACUUGUUUACAAAGUACCACAUCUCUGGUGAGCACAAGGGAGAAAUGUAAUAUUGUUUAGAAAAGAGAUGUGUGUCAUGUCAUCUAAGCUAAAUGCUGCUAAAUUCUUUAUGAUGGCAGCCAUGUUUGUUUAUGUUUGACAAGCGAAAACUCCCUAAUCCCAGAAUGCCAUUCACUACUAUGACUCGUUCAAAACAACUGGGAGCUGAGAACUUGGAACUCAGAAAUCUCAGACUUCUGACUUCAGUGCAUUCAAAACAACUGGGAACUCGGGAAAAAACAAGCUCCGACUGGGAAUUCCAACUCUGACUUUUUAAAAUUUUUAAUUUUACCCCUUUUUCUCCCCAAUUUCGUGGUAUCCAAUUGUUGUAGUAGCUACUAUCUUGUCUCAUCGCAACAACUUGAAAGUCAUGCGUCCUCCGAUACACAACCCAACCAGCCGUACUGCUUCUUAACACAGCGCGCAUCCAACCCGGAAGCCAGCCGCACCAAUGUGUCGGAGGGUACACCGUGCACCUGGCAACCUUGGUUAGCGCGCACUGUGCCCGGCCCGCCACAGGAGUCACUGGUGCGCGAUGAGACAAGGACAUCCCUACCGACCAAGCCCUCCCUAACCCGGACAACGCUAGGCCAAUUGUGCGUCGCCCCACGGACCUCCCGGUCGCGGCCGGUUACGACAGAGCCUGGGCGCGAACCCAGGGACUCUGAUGGCACAGCUGGCGCUGCAGUAUAGCGCCCUUAACCACUGCGCCACCCGGGAGGCCCGAACUCUGACUUUCUGACCUGAAGAUCACUGACAUCAUGAUUUGACCUCGUAUUUCUCCAAGUUCCUAGUUGUUUUGAAUGCAGUAUAAAACACAAAUAAACAAAGUCAAAGUCAAAGAUGGCUGCGCCCCUAGCCUGAAAAAUAUGAACUUAGUUUGGUCACUUUUCAGCAUAUUACAAAUCUUCGAUGUACUUGUUACAGUGUUUUCAAGAAUCGGAGCACAAGUCAUUUACAGCAAAUAAAAUGGACCACAGUUACAAUCUGAUGCCAUGUUCAAAACAACUGGGAACUGGAAACUCGGAAAUCUCAAACUUCUUACACAUUCAAGACAACUGGUAACUAUGGAAAAAACAAGCUCCGAAAUGUGAAUAAAACAGUAAAUACAUUAUGCUCCAUGCAAACAUAAGGUAUGUUACAGUAGAAACAACAACACGAUAUACAGAAAAUAUGGCACUUACUUUGAUAGGAACGCAUACAUGUCCAAAGUUAUUAUUUGCAUGGAAAACAACAAUGAAGGCAAUGCUUUGAAAUUAUUUGAAAUGGACAUGUUAAAACAUAAUAUAUAGAUAAUUAGCAGGCAGCGUGCCUCGGUUCGCUGGCAGCAUGGGUUAACUGUCCUGUUGCUUAACAAUCACAUUUUGGAACAAUGAGUGCAUUAUGACAUCACGUGCGUUAAAAAAACCUCACACUGGGACGACCGUGAAAGAUAUUUAGAACUCACACAUGAAAAGAUUAAGGAUGGAUAUCUGGGAGACAAGUUUGAGGUGUCAAAGAUUGUGAAGCAUGCGCUGGGAAAAGUGGAAUCUUUCAAGUCUUAUUUUGAUACAUUUUAUUUCUGAAAAACAGAGGAAAAUUGCAGUGGACCUCAAAAGAAUCCACACCACAGAAGUAUCAUGCUUUGAACAUCGAAGCAGAGUCA